CAGGGGUUAGUUUAUUAAAAUAUUGGUUUUGGGGACCGAGGAUAGAAAGCUUUUUCUACCCCUGA
rnacentral:tRNA from 2 species